UAUGUACUCCCUCCGUCCAAAAAUACUUGUCGGAGAAAUGGAUGUAUCUAGACAUAUUUUAGUUGUAGAUACAUCCAUUUUUAUCCAUUUCUGCGACAAAUAAUUCCGGACGGAGGGAGUAUGUG
rnacentral:pre_miRNA from 1 species